UACGUAGGGUGCAGGCGUUAAUCGGAAUUACUGGGCGUAAAGUGUGCGCAGGCGGCCGAGCAAGUCGAGUGUGAAAGCCCCGAGCUUAACUUGGGAACUGCGCUCGAAACUACUUGGCUAGAGUGUGGCAGAGGGAGGUGGAAUUCCACGUGUAGCGGUGAAAUGCGUAGAGAUGUGGAGGAACACCGAUGGCGAAGGCAGCCUCCUGGGCCAACACUGACGCUCAUGCACGAAAGCGUGGGGAGCAAACGGG
rnacentral:rRNA from 1 species